CAGCAAUUUCUUGAGGCAAUGUUUUUUGUCCUGUGUUAUUAGAGUUAGCUGUAUCAUCUGGCUGUUCAGUACUGCACAGAGACUCCACAAUCGGGACAUCAUCGGUGCAGGCGCGAACAUCUUCAGUGCCAGUGUUGCAGCAUACAGUUGACCAUGGAGCUAUUGACGCACCCCACGCCCAACAUGAAGUCACUUCGAACCCAAGUCACUUCGUACCAAAGUCACAACCGUUCCCUGGGCUAAUACUGCGCAAAUCGUUCAGUACCUGAAGAGUUUUUAAAGGAAGUGGACACUAAUGGUUCCCUGGGCUAAUACUGCGCAAAUCGUUCAGUACCUGAAGAGUUUUUAAAGGAAGUGGACACUAAUGGUAAGUACUCAAAAUAAUUAUUAGCAUACAAAGGAGUCCUCCUCUCCCACUAUGUAACAUAGCUUUUCUCUCCACUUAUCUAUUUACAUUUGUCGUCUUCAGUAAGCCUGGUUUUAUAUUCUUUGUAUUUUGUCGUCAGCGUUUUGUAUUGUCAUUGUGUGUUUGUCUUGUCCUUG